rnacentral:tRNA from 1 species
UCCUUGAUAGCUCAUCUGUCAAAGAAUCUGCCUGCAAUGCAGGAGACCCUGGUUCAAUUCCUGGGUUGGGAA